UACGGGGGGAGCAAGCGUUGUUCGGGUUUACUGGGCGUAAAGGGCGCGUAGGCGGCCAGCGCAAGUCAGUUGUGAAAUCUCCGGGCUUAACUCGGAACGGUCAACUGAUACUGCUCGGCUAGAGUGCGGAAGGGGCAACUGGAAUUCUUGGUGUAGCGGUGAAAUGCGUAGAUAUCAAGAGGAACACCUGCGGCGAAGGCGGGUUGCUGGGCCGACACUGACGCUGAUGCGCGAAAGCUAGGGGAGCAAAUGGG
rnacentral:rRNA from 1 species